AUGGGGUUAUGGCUCAGUGGUACAGCACUUGCCUAGCACAUGUGAGGCACUGGGUUCGAUCCUCAGCUCCAUA
rnacentral:tRNA from 1 species